GGGACCUCACCAAACCUUUUGGUUUUGCAAUUUCUGUUUUGAGGACUGCUGGCGGCGGCGGCCACCUCGGGCGGGGUCGCUACCCCCGUGACCUAGGGGAUCGCGGUUUAGGGUCCCUCCCCCUCUCGUUUCACUGCCGGCCUGAGGGUCGCAGUGCGCAUGCGUGAGAGUCUGGGCGGAAAAGUGGUGGUGGUUGACCGAAUGUGCCUUUACCCUGGAGGGGACGGCGGGGAAACCCGAGGGACCCUGGGACCGUGCUUCGGGCGGCAGCCUGUGGGUCUAGGGGGACACCCCACCCCUACCCCCCCAGCCAAAGCUGCUGGGAAUCCUUCUUCCUAUCGGCUAAUGUGCAGUGUGCGCUCAAUCACUGCUUUGUAAACCUGGAGUGAAAUGCCGGGCGGUGGCAAGGGACGCGGGAAGCAGUAACGGGCUGGGAAGUAGGGUGCGUGUUUGGGGCCAGUCCGCCUGGGAGUCGGUCACAGAGUGAAGCGGGUCUGAUUGGUUGUCUGUUAUUCAGGCAGUGAAGUUGUCCGUGUUUGUUCAUCAGGCCGUGCCAGCGGGUCAGAGGAUCUCCGCCGGCGGUUUCUCCCCAUAUGGAUGGGGUGUUUCUCCCGCAGACGGUUAGAACCUCAACCAACAGGACUGAGCACGUCUAUUGGCGAAUCUGUCCAGGAUCGGUAUUUUGGGCGCCGGCCAGACGCGCGGGAUUUGCAGCAAAGGGUGUGCCUCCGGGAUGGAAGGGAAGAGACGCGCCUGGAGUGUUGUCUGCUUCGAAUUGUAUCUGGGUUUUGAGAGCUGCGUGGCCCUCUGGGAUGAGAGACGACGGAGCCCAAUGACGCAUUUGUGAUCUCCCUACAGGGUGAUUGGCACUGUGGCUGUACGCGGCCGCCCCUUGGGAGGGUGCCAUGGAAACAGAGGAUCCUUGCCCUGCUCGCUGCCCUGAGCACCUCUCCUCCCCACCCCUCCCGCACACUGCAUAAACGUUUGAAUGGAUUUGUGUGUAUGAGCGAUCCCGGCCUCAAAAAUAUCUAGGUAUGAGAGGUGGGAGGGCUUACUCUACCAAAUAUUAAAACUUACUAUCAUCAACUAUAAACUGUAGGAAUUCAGAUAGCGUGGUACAGGUGCAGGAGAGACAAGCAUCCCAGUGGAACAGAAUAAAGGGCCCAGAUACAGCCCCACACGUACUUGGACAAGUGAUUCAAGACAAAGGGUGCUUGAAAGCUGAGCGGAGACACUGAGGACGAGAGUGUGACAUGAAAAGGAACAGGCCGGGGAGUAAAUGUGGACACAAAGGCCUGGGGAUCCCACCCUGGGAGUCUCUGGUGAACGUGGACUAUGGAAGGAAGAAGACAGAGAAUUUAAGAAUUCUUCAGCUUGACAUUCGUUGAGCAGGAAAUCAGGAGUCCAAGUCCCUCUCUGCCUCCCUUUUCCUGACUUGGUGUCAUUUUACUGCUCAGGGUCAUCAGAACUUCAGUGGCCCGCUCUGUGCUUGGCCUCCUCGCACCUUGGCCUUCCCUUCUUGAUCCUUUUCAUAGCCCUUCCUCCUCCUGAGUCGCUGAUGUUCUCCAAGCUCCAUCGUUGGCCUCUUCCCAUCCUGCCCCAUGCAGCCAUCCCGCACGGACUCACCUCCUCUUUCCAUAGAAUCAGCCGCCACCUCCCAGUGGUUCUCAACAGGGUACGAGGGGAGGGAGGAGAAGCCGAGGGGAAUCACCUAGAAUCAUUUGGUGAGAAGGGCGUUCCCACUGGUGACACCACCAUUCGCUCGCUCAGUCAUCCCAGAAAGAAACUUGAGGUCAUCCGUGAAAGUUACCUUGCCGUCCUGCUGGGAGUCGAGCGACCUCCAAGCCCUGAAAACGUUACCUCCCGAGUAUCAUUCCAAUUCAUCACCUCCUCUCCGUUCUUACUCCGAUCCCCCAAUUCAGGUCCUGAGCAGGUCUGCGUACCUGGAUCCCCGUGGUUCCCCUUUCUCUGGGAACCGCCCUUCUCAGAGUGGCCCAAAAAUCAGCAGGGAAAGGAAACUCCUUCCUCUCUGAUUCCUGGGGAGCAAUCAAGGUUCUGGUCCGAUGAUCAAGGUCUUAGAGCUCAAUGGAGGGACUGAAGACAACAGUAUCUGGGGAGGGCCGUGUGGUUGGUCCACUUAGACUGAGUUCAAGUGGCAUGAGAUUUACCAGAAGGCCGCCCCUGCAGAAGAGGCUCUUUAUAACCCCACAGACGGGGGACCCCUGGGCCGACGGGGGCUCAUGAAACAAAGCAGCCAGAGAGGCAGGAAUAGAGGCUGUGUUGCACGUGCCGUGGCUCUGGAAGAUGCUAACAUCAGGCGAAGCUGGGGGAGGGGGACACGGGAAACUUCUGUACCACCUGUGCAAGUGUUCUGUAAAUCUCAGGCAAGGGGCGAAUGCUCUCAGGA